rnacentral:rRNA from 1 species
GCUUACGGCCAUAUCAGCCUGGGUACUCCCGAUCUCGUCUGAUCUCAGAAGCUAAGCAGGGUCGGGCCUGGUUAGUACUUGGAUGGGAGACCACCUGGGAAUACCAGGUGCUGUAAGCA